rfam:Alligator mississippiensis ScZkoYb_135, whole genome shotgun sequence.
UUAGCAUCUCAGUCUUUUGGCUAAGAUCAAGCCUUUUUUAGCAACAAGAGGAGGGUGUCAGGGCUAGCUCCAGCCCUUCCAGUGCUGUCUUGGUUUUGCAGUACCUCCAGGCUUGGUGCCAGUUUC